GGGCUAUUAGCUCAGUCGGUAGAGCAGCGGGCUGUUAACCCGCGUGUCACAGGUUCGAUCCCUGUAUAGUCCGCCA
rnacentral:tRNA from 1 species